UUCGUGUUCCCUCCGUCCCAAAAUUCUUGUCUUUGAUUUGUCUACAUAUGGAUGUAUUUAUUCACAUUUUAGUGUUAGAUACAUCCGUAUCAAGAUAAAUUUAAGACAAGAAUUUUGGGACAGAGGGAGUACAUG
rfam:Triticum aestivum genome assembly, contig: Triticum_aestivum_CS42_TGACv1_scaffold_274169_3DS